GUCGGUAUCGAUUAGGGGUUAAAUCACCUCGUUGUGGCGCUUGUGUACACCCAUUCGUUCCGAGGAGCCGCAGGUUCGAUUCCUGCUACCGACA